CUGCUCUAAAGCUACUUCCGGCGCUGUCGCCCCUCCCUGCUGGCCUGGGAGUUUGCUGCUCACCUGCUGUGACAGUCACCAAGCUGGCCAUGCUCCCUGGGAAACAGGGAAGGGAGGAGACACUCCCAUCCUGUCCUCACUGCCUCCAGCCUAGAGAAGGGCUCUGAAGACGACGGGGCUCUGAGGAUGUGAUCCCACGUGUCCUCGUCCUGAGCAGAUGUUCUAUUCGUGUCCAACUGCAGCCUCCCUUCCCAUGACACACAGACGUACACAGAUAUCCUGAAAUCAGCAUUGCCUUUGUAUCCCAACAUGGAGAUCCUUGCCUGCAAUAAUGUCUCGCUUUUUUCUUCAAUCACUGGAACCUGACUUUUCUUCUGAACCACGCUAUGUGUCCAUGAACUUCUCAAGAGGUUCUCCACCUUCCUCUGCAACGGCUCAGCUCCACUCCCAGGCCUCUCUUGAGAAUUUCCGCACCAGCUGCAGCGUGCCCCCCUCCUCUCUGUGAAUUUCUCCUGUGACAAGAUGCCUAUCGCUUUGCUUUGCAUCAGGUUGCAUCAUAUGAUGUCAGAAAAGCUGAAAGAAAACAAAGUGCUGUCCCUGGGGAGUGGGGCACUCACAACACAGAAAGGAGCCUUGGGGAGGGGCCGCGCUUGGGUUUCACCUGCAGAACACCCACUUCUGGCUUCAAGUAACCAUUCUUUAGUCCCACAUUCUAUAUUGCCAUUUGUUUUUCAUGAGCAUUAAAAACGCAUUCUUAGUUCUUAGGUGUUUUCUGGGACUCAGAGUUCAUUCUGCUGUUUCAUUCAAGGUUCAGUACACUUCUUGAUUUUAUGUCCAUUGUAUUCCAAGGAUAGAUGAUUAAAAUAUCAUCAACAAUCUAGGGCACUUUGUGAAAACCUUCACCCCAGAACUCUUAUCCACUGAUGACUCUCCUGGUCUGCUAAAAACUCACUUAUUGUGAAAGACUUUCCUG
rnacentral:lncRNA from 1 species